UCCAGCUCCUCCAGGGUGGCACAGUGUCGUCACACAGCACAGGAGAAUGCAGGAGCUCCCAGGAUGAGGGCCAUUACAAGAGGAGAGCUAGACAGGGCUGAAGAAGGGCAUCUUACCCUGCAGCAAGACCGGCAUUUGCUACUUUGUUUAAAGAGGAACAGAGGAGGAGCAAUGCCAGAGCCUUAUACUGGGCUGCUAGUCAAAAACAUGUCCAUGAGGGCCCAAAGUCUUCUAGUGCGACUUGUGCUCUCAGCCCACUGAUUGACCAUACAGUCUAGAGGAGACACCAUCCGCCAUUUCAUCAGGACCAUGCUUAGAUGUUGUUGGGACUUCAUACUGGCACGUGAAGGCCAUACACAUUGCCCAACAGGAUGAGCAUGAAGAAAAAGAGAAGAGACCAUAGCGGUGAAAUAGGCAGUAGUGUCAGGGCUUCUGGGUAGGCAACGAAAGCCAGGCCUGGCCCAUGAUCAGCCACCUCGGACACGUCCACGCCCAGGUGCUGCGCCAUGAAGCCCAGAAUGGAGAAAAUGACAAAGCCAGCGUAUACACUCGUAGCGCAGUUCGUCACGCUGAUAAUGAUGCUGUCUCUGUUAAGCCGUAAAACAACGAAAGUGUGACGCCAUGGUGAUGAGACCACCCCAGGCACAACCCAGAGAGUAGAAAAUCUGAGAGGCAGCAUCACCCCACACCUACAAAACACACACACAUUCCCACUGUCUCACCCAAGAACCAACUAACCACAUUUCUACUUUUCACCUGAAUUAAAUGUAUUCUAAAUAUCUGGCUUACUGACCUUGGCAUCCAGGA